UCGAAUGAAAUCAUUAAGUUUCGUGUACCGCACGGAACAAGAACUAGUAUACAGUAUAGGCGUACUAGUAAUACUAUUAAGUGCAUUCUACACGUUUUUUUGUUAUUUUUUUGGGAAAUAUAUUUGAUUGAUAGAAAAAGGAAACUUUCUCUCUUAGUACAACAAAUUUGGGUUAUACCUCUGCUCUGUGUUGCUGCUCAACCC